CAGGUUGAUAUUCCUGUACCACCUAUAAUCGUUUUAAUCGAUGGGGGGACGCAGUAGGAUAGGCGAAGCGUGCGAUUGGAUUGCACGUCUAAGCAGUAAGGCUGAGUAUUAGGCAAAUCCGGUACUCGUUAAGGCUGAGCUGUGAUGGGGAGAAGACAUUGUGUCUUCGAGUCGUUGAUUUCACACUGCCGAGAAAAGCCUCUAGAUAGAAAAUAGGUGCCCGUACCGCAAACCGACACAGGUAGUCAAGAUGAGAAUUCUAAGGUGAGCGAGCGAACUCUCGUUAAGGAACUCGGCAAAAUGACCCCGUAACUUCGGGAGAAGGGGUGCUCUUUAGGGUUAACGCCCAGAAGAGCCGCAGUGAAUAGGCCCAAGCGACUGUUUAUCAAAAACACAGGUCUCUGCUAAACCGUAAGGUGAUGUAUAGGGGCUGACGCCUGCCCGGUGCUGGAAGGUUAAGAGGAGUGGUUAGCUUCUGCGAAGCUACGAAUCGAAGCCCCAGUAAACGGCGGCCGUAACUAUAACGGUCCUAAGGUAGCGAAAUUCCUUGUCGGGUAAGUUCCGACCCGCACGAAAGGCGUAACGAUUUGGGCACUGUCUCAACGAGAGACUCGGUGAAAUCAUAGUACCUGUGAAGAUGCAGGUUACCCGCGACAGGACGGAAAGACCCCGUGGAGCUUUACUGUAGCCUGAUAUUGAAAUUCGGCACAGCUUGUACAGGAUAGGUAGGAGCCUUUGAAACGUGAGCGCUAGCUUACGUGGAGGCGCUGGUGGGAUACUACCCUAGCUGUGUUGGCUUUCUAACCCGCACCACUUAUCGUGGUGGGAGACAGUGUCAGGCGGGCAGUUUGACUGGGGCGGUCGCCUCCUAAAAGG
rnacentral:rRNA from 1 species